AAAACAUCUGCAGUUCUCGUCCUCAGGUCCAGUUUGCUCCUCUACCACCACAGCCCUCUGAUUUCAGGCCCAUUCAUUUCCAUGAUCUUCACAGCUCGGAGAUACCUGUGGCCAACAGCUAUUCCAUUCA